GAUUUCAACUGAAAAAGUCAUCAACAACAAAGUUGUACAACUCAUCAAGAUCUAUAACUUUUAUUUUGGUCAUUUCUUCAUCCGAUAAAGUGAUUUGUAAGAUUGUUCGCAAAAUGUACAUCUCUUAUAUAGUACUAUAUAAGAGAUGUACAUUUUGCGAACAAUCUUACAAAUCACUUUGUCGGAUGAAGAAAUGACCAAAAUAGAAGUUAUAGAUCUUGAUAAGUUAUACAACUUUGUUAUUGAUGACUUUUUUAGAUGAAAUC
rnacentral:pre_miRNA from 1 species